AUAUUAUCGAAUCACACUUCUUGUUCGGAAAAUGUCCAUUUUCAUGGAAUCGAAAGAGUUCCUCGUUUAUCUUAGAAUGGGAGUGUUUCAAAUAUUACAAAUUUUGGAUCAAGAUAUUACUUAGUUGCUUCGCUGUUAUCUCCCCAAUGGUUGGUAUAUAUGUGAGAAAUGCAGUUAAUCGUCUGACUCCAUAUCAUUACGAUGAUAACGUCCCCUCUAAGCUUAUCGCGUUUUACUUAAUAAUGUCAAUUAUAGCAUUCGGAAUGUUUCUAAUCCUUUUGCCCUUGGUGCUGUUCUGGGACGAGUUUGGUACUCCAGAGCUUCGUCGCCAGUUCAUCUUCUUCAGUCGAUUACAAGAGGUGUGUCCCCCAAAACAACGUCCACUCGUCCGUUCUGAAAAAAAUAUACAGAUUGCAUCAGUAUUUUUUCAUUUCUAUAUUAUACUACCUACCGUUUGCAGCAUGCUUACCGUGUUUCAGAAUUGGGAUCCGUUAUAUUUUAUCCUUUUCCAGAUGAGGAUACGGCCAACAAACAUUCUUGCGAGCCUAAUUCGUAUAGUUUCUCUAACUUCAUUGGCGGUAGAGUUCUCCCGGGUUUUUACAAUUUUAAUAAGCAUGGCUGUAUAGUUGAUUAACAUUACGAACUUAUCACUUGCCCGAUGGCGUAUUAUUGAAACUGGAAACUUGAGGGUUGGAUGGUACUUUUAUAGGUGUUUUAUGGUGAUUUUUGCAGUUAGAAGAAUUCCCUCAAUAUUCAUGGUUACGGUUCUGGUUGUCAUUGGCUCAGUCCUUCAUGUUUCCUUUAAUUAUGCGGUCAUCAUGUUGCAUGCACAUAUCCCAAUUUUUUAUUUAUUUAAUUGUAUUUUAUAUUGCACUAAUUGUGAUGAUGGUCUUCACUUAUAUUGUACAUUUCCUCACCAAAGUGCAUCAACAAACUGAAUCCAGCCUGGGGUUAAUGAAAGGAAGGAUUGCGUCCAAAAACUCCUUAAUUUAUAGGGAUAUUAGAACUAUGCCAGUCCUUACAUUUCAUAUUCAAGUCGGACGGAGCUCAUAUCCCAUCAAGACAUCUUACAAGGUUCAUUAUCUUUCAGGAGUCAUGGAUUGUACUAUUUUCUUUAUUUUAGGAUUGCCUAUAUCUCACAUUAUCUGUACUAAUUGAUGUCAGUAAUGCAGGUAAAAAUCAAAUGCAUUCUUUCUCCUCACUACACAAGUAGGCAAUACGUUGUGGUGUGUAGAGCAUCUGAACUAAGCAAAUCAUCGGGAACAGCGAGAAAACUCCACUGUAGGCACAGAGAAUUGAACCCGAAGAGCCAUAUUAAGGCCAUUCAGGCCGACUGAUAGGCUCCUGUGCUCCGUUACCAUCCACAUCUAAUGGUUACUGUUACUGAUGAUCUUUUCGACAUGUAAAAUAAUACGAGGGGUCCGGCACAACUACCCGUUUUGACCAAGAAGGGGAUUCGUUUGGCCCAACUUUUUUCAAGGGCUCUAAAGCUUAAUUCAUGUAGACCUCAUGCUAAAAAUUUCAGACCGCUGCGGUCAUGCAGGAAUUAACGAGGUCACUACGUGUGACACAAAACAGUAAAAAUAACAAAAUCGCCAAUAUCUAGUCGCAUUUUCUGAUAUUGUUUUAAACAUUAGAAGCGUUCUCCCCAACCGAAUUUCCUGAACUAAACAGCAAAUUGUUCCCAUAUUAGUCCUCUUUGCUAUCAUGGGUAAGAGAAUGGGCCAAGUAAUUUAUUUUGCAUAAAAAAUCACUGGUGAACGAAGGAGGACCAGGAUAACCAAUUUUCUUGAAUUAUGAUAUGUAUAUCCAAAUUGUGAGUGACCAGUUGUUGCCUAUAUUCGAAAUAAAGUUCAGGAGAUAGCUAGAUAGUUAGUCAAUAAUAAAUCAAAUCCCAUCGAAAUCCCACAUGAUCAUUUUGCCCGUAACCAGGUCAGAACCUAAGUGGUGCAAACGAAUUUGAGCAUCCAGCUAAAUUAAUUUAAGCCAUAAUUCACCAAAAGGAAUUUGACCUUCAGAAGGGUUAUAAAAAUUUCUUUUCCAACGUAGUCAGUAGUUAUGAAAUCUGUGUUGACUAUUGUGACCAGCUAUAUCAGAAAAAAUAUAUGUAAUGAUAUGCUAGCGAUCCUUUACCCCGAAGCACCUGAAAAAUGCAAAAUUCUGCAAAUUAUUACAUGGUAGCUCCUUCCUGGAACUUGAAAGGAGUUUUUCGUAUAAGCCUUUUUGCACGUACAACUACGAUAACUGGUGCAUGUUUUCCCGCAAAUUUGAAGAACUUAAGAUAAGGCGUUCUAAAGAAAAGACAAUGAGCAUGUUGGCGUCACUUUCGUCCUUUCCGCAUGCAAAAGGCGGCUUCUGCAUGAUGGAAACUGUGCCAACCCCAAAAAUGCCAAAAUUACUUUACUCUUCUCAUACUCUAGCCAAUUUUCAAUCUAUUGUAAAACUUGGAUAGAGUCUUUGGAACUCAAACGGACCAAGUGAGUUAAGCUUAUAAGGGAAUAUAUUGAAAAGUGAUAAGGUAAGUUUUCCAAAUUUACUGUGGCAUCUAGGUCAAAACGGGUAGUUGUGCCGGACCCUUCGUAUGUCUGUGGGAUCGACUAACCUCACUCAAUGACGACAAGCAGUACUUCCUACCCAGUCCAAGGUUGUCGCCUGUUUGACUAUGCCGUGUUAGGGGUCGAAGGGUCCCCUCGACCCCUCGACAAAUAAAACCCAUUAACCCAAUAAAACCCAAAAAACUCAUUAAAACCCGUGGUUUGUUAAUUUUUGAAUAAAACCUUGGGUUUU